ACAGACAGCCAGGAUGUUGGCUUAGAAGCAGCCAUCAUUUAAAGAAAGCGUAAUAGCUCACUGGUCGAGUCGGCCUGCGCGGAAGAUGUAACGGGGCUAAACCAUGCACCGAAGCUGCGGCAGCGACGCUUAUGCGUUGUUGGGUAGGGGAGCGUUCUGUAAGCCGUUGAAGGUGUCCUGUGAGGGGUGCUGGAGGUAUCAGAAGUGCGAAUGCUGACAUAAGUAACGAUAAAGCGGGUGAAAAGCCCGCUCGCCGGAAGACCAAGGGUUCCUGUCCAACGUUAAUCGGGGCAGGGUGAGUCGACCCCUAAGGCGAGGCCGAAAGGCGUAGUCGAUGGGAAACAGGUUAAUAUUCCUGUACUUGGUGUUACUGCGAAGGGGGGACGGAGAAGGCUAUGUCAGCCGGGCGACGGUUGUCCCGGUUUAAGCAUGUAGGCGGAGGUUCCAGGUAAAUCCGGUACCUUGUUAACGCUGAGGUGUGAUGACGAGGCACUACGGUGCUGAAGUGAUAAAUGCCCUGCUUCCAGGAAAAGCCUCUAAGCAUCAGGUAACACGAAAUCGUACCCCAAACCGACACAGGUGGUCAGGUAGA
rnacentral:rRNA from 1 species